UUACCUACGGGACGCAGCAGUGGGGAAUAUUGCACAAUGGGGGAAACCCUGAUGCAGCGACGCCGCGUGAGUGAAGAAGUAUUUCGGUAUGUAAAGCUCUAUCAGCAGGGAAGAAAAAAGACGGUACCUGACUAAGAAGCCCCGGCUAACUACGUGCCAGCAGCCGCGGUAAUACGUAGGGGGCAAGCGUUAUCCGGAUUUACUGGGUGUAAAGGGAGCGUAGACGGCUGUGCAAGUCUGAAGUGAAAGCCCAGGGCUCAACCCUGGGACUGCUUUGGAAACUGUGGAGCUAG
rnacentral:rRNA from 1 species